UACAGAGGGUGCGAGCGUUAAUCGGAAUUACUGGGCGUAAAGGGCGCGUAGGCGGUUUUGUAAGUUAUGUGUGAAAACCUUGGGCUUAACCUGGGACGUGCACAUAAUACUGUGGAACUAGAGUAGAGUAGAGGAAAGUGGAAUUUCCGGUGUAGCGGUGAAAUGCGUAGAUAUCGGAAGGAACACCAGUGGCGAAGGCGGCUUUCUGGGCUCAUACUGACGCUGAGGCGCGAAAGCGUGGGGAGCAAACAGG
rnacentral:rRNA from 1 species